GGGUCGUUAGCUCAGUUGGUAAAUCCUGCACGACCCACCAAUCGUUCUGGUGGAACGCGAUAGUAAAACGUGAAGGAUAACGUUGCGUAAGCAACGGCCCGUAGGGCGAGACGAAGUCGAGUCAUCCUGCACGACCCACCA
rnacentral:tRNA from 1 species